AGGUAGAGACCGAUAGCAACCACGUGAUCAGUAAAAAUCGUGUAUUUUCACGUGAAAUUAUUUUUCGGAAUUCCGUACAUCGCCAUAGAGUAGUUGAAAAACAAAAAGGGGUUCCGAAAGUACAAGUUGUUGCUGUGACUGAAUCGAUGAUUGAGAGGGUCGUCUCGACGAAAGAUAUAGAAAUUUGGCCAUAGUUUAGAUUAGGAAUACGUCAAUGUAAUAAUAGUGGACUAAAUGUUUCGUCCGUGCAGAAUGGCACUUUUUACCUCACGAAAUUCACCACCAUGCAUAGCUGCGCUACGUAAACAAAGUUGUUGAUGUAGCGUGAUCGUGGUGUCCGAGUGCUGCGAGUUUCAAUACUGUUUAUGUAGUCAAUGAGAGUUUAAACAAAGUUUCUUCUGAGAAGAGGAAUUCGAUGGAUGCAUUCAACGUGGACAACGAAAUCAUAAUUUCGUUUGCAUCAUCCUAAGGACCAGUGCAAGUUGAAAUGAGCUUCCAGCCAACAACUUCAACAGCAAUUUGCCAUGAAAAUCAGCAAGAAAGGUACUUCAUUUACAUUGAUGAUGUCAUAUCCCCUGGACCCCACAACUUUACAGGUUACAGAGAAAAUUCAAGAACUUCUGCAAAAUGUGGGACUUGGAUAGAAUCAAUAAUGUAUUUGUGAGCCCAGAGCAAUGGAUAUAUUGUGCAACAUACUAAAGUGUGAAUUUAAUGGAAAACAAGUACAUGUACUCAUGUAUUACAUGUCUUUUUUAAAGACAAUAAUAUUGUAUAUAUAUAGAGGAAGUGUCAUUGUUGAUUAUUCUAAGUUUUUGAUAUAUCAAAAUCAGUAAACAUUUCUAAAUGAAAAUAAAAUACCAAUUUUAUAACUUUAA